rnacentral:rRNA from 1 species
GACAGACCCAGGGAACUGAAACAUCUAAGUACCUGGAGGAAGAGAAAGCAAAUGCGAUUUCCUGAGUAGCGGCGAGCGAAACGGAACAUAGCCCAAACCAAGAGGCUUGCCUCUUGGGGUUGUAGGACAUUCUAUACGGAGUUACAAAGGAACGAGGUAGACGAAGCGACCUGGAAAGGUCCGUCGUAGAGGGUAACAACCCCGUAGUCGAAACUUCGUUCUCUCUUGAAUGUAUCCUGAGUACGGCGGAACACGUGAAAUUCCGUCGGAAUCUGGGAGGACCAUCUCCCAAGGCUAAAUACUCCCUAGUGAUCGAUAGUGAACCAGUACCGUGAGGGAAAGGUGAAAAGCACCCCGGAAGGGGAGUGAAAGAGAUCCUGAAACCGUGUGCCUA